GUGCUCGCUUCAACAGCCCAUACAUAAAUAUCGCAAUGAUAACACAGAUUAGCACGGGCCUGUGCAAGGAUGACUUGCAAGUUUGUGAAGUGUUCCAUAUUUUU